rnacentral:rRNA from 1 species
CUCAAAUCAGGUAGGAGUACCCGCUGAACUUAAGCAUAUCAAUAAGCGGAGGAAAAGAAACCAACCGGGAUUGCCUUAGUAACGGCGAGUGAAGCGGCAAAAGCUCAAAUUUGAAAUCUGGUACCUUUGGUGCCCGAGUUGUAAUUUGGAGAGGGCAACUUUGGGACCGUUCCUUGUCUAUGUUCCUUGGAACAGGACGUCAUAGAGGGUGAGAAUCCCGUGUGGCGAGGAGUGCGGUUCUAUGUAAAGUGCCUUCGAAGAGUCGAGUUGUUUGGGAAUGCAGCUCUAAGUGGGUGGUAAAUUCCAUCUAAAGCUAAAUAUUGGCGAGAGACCGAUAGCGAACAAGUACAGUGAUGGAAAGAUGAAAAGAACUUUGAAAAGAGAGUGAAAAAGUACGUGAAAUUGUUGAAAGGGAAGGGCAUUUGAUCAGACAUGGUGUUUUGCGCCCUCUGCUCCUUGUGGGUGGGGGAAUCUCGCAGUUCACUGGGCCAGCAUCAGUUUUGGUGGCAGGAUAAAUCCGUAGGAAUGUAACUUGCUUCGGGAAGUAUUAUAGCCUAUGGGAAUACUGCCAGCUGGGACUGAGGACUGCGACGUAAGUCAAGGAUGCUGGCAUAAUGGUUAUAUGCCGCCCGUCUUGAAA